GAUGCUAAAGGAAGGGGAAAGGCAACAGCAGCCUCUCAGCAUCCCUGGUAAACACGCCCUUGUGCACAGUUUGCAGUGUAUUUUUGGGUUGUUUGAAAAGAGUGCAAAGGUUUGGUGUAUUUUUUUUUCCCUGUGCAUGCACUAGAAACCCUUGGCAGUCCAAACUCUUGUACCUGAAAAUGCAGACUCAGAGGAAAGGGAGCAGCUCUGGGAGAUCUGGCUGAACGGCUGCUGCCUGCCAGCCCUGACCACGAGCCUUGCAGGAAAGAGGUUUUGCUGCAUCUGGAUUUUCCUGGCCACGUUCCCCCGGGAUUCUGCUGGAAAAAAACAGUGGCUGAAUGAGUGGAAUGAACAGCAAAAUGCACGUGCCAUGACCCUGAGAGAGGAGGUGCAUUUUGGGGGGCUCUUUGCUAUGUUGCCAAGAUACUGCUGUAGCAGAGAAAUGGAAAAAAAAUCCGGGUGUUACAUGAACUGAUGCCACUUUUGGAAGUUUCAGAAACAAAACUUCCCAGGGAAUGAAGAGC